GGGAAACCUCCACCCUGGCUAACAUCAUCCUGUCUCUAUGGAAACAAGUGCACUGCUACAAUUUCUGCACUGGGGGGAACCAGGAAUAUAACUGGACUGAAGUUACAAGGAAGAAUUGGAUGGAGCCAGUAGGGUUAACACUGAUACUAACAGGAGAUUACUAGCCAUAAGAAAAUUACAGCUCUUCUGAAAGACAGUGCCUAAAAUAGCAGCAUAUCCUUGGCACCAUCAUAGGAACUGGUUAACUGAUGACCCUGAA
rnacentral:lncRNA from 1 species